rnacentral:miRNA from 1 species
UAUCCAGCUUGCCACUACAUGCCUUUUAAAUGGGGCACAGAGUGACAAGCUAGAUAAAG